CCCCCCCCCCCCCCCCCCCCCCCCCCCCCCCCCCCCCCCCCCCCCCCCCCCCCCCCCCCCCCCCCCCCCCCCCCCAUCCCGUCCCGUCCCGUCCCGUCCCGUCCCGUCCCUGCGCUGCCGCGGCGCUUUCUGCACCGCGCUCCUGCUGAGUUGGGCGAUCCGGCCUUUGGCGAUCGCCACUGGCUGGGUGGUUUCCAGCUGCUGGGACUAGAACAAGGGAAGGAGAGAAAAGAAAGCCUGGAGUUUUUCUUAACAGUGCACUGCUUAUGAAGUCCAGUGAAGCACAA
rnacentral:lncRNA from 12 species